UCUUAUCAAGAGAGGUGGAGGGAUAGGGCCCUAUGAAACCCGGCAACCUGUAUAUUCAAGGUGCCAAUUCCUGUAGGUAAUUUAUCUACAAGAUAAGA
rnacentral:ncRNA from 1 species